AGAGAAGAAGGAGGGCGGUGGUGGGGGUGAUGCGGGAGCUGCGGAGGGUGGCUCAGGGGUCGCUCCCAGCCGGGUGCUGCAGCAGUGCGGGCAGCUCCAGAAGCUCAUUGUCAUCUUCAUUGGCAGCCUGUGCGGGCUGUGCACCAAGUGCGCUGUGUCCAAUGACCUCACCCAGCAGGAGAUACGGACCCUGGAGGUGAGGAAACUGAAGGCCUGAGGGAGAACUGACUUGCCAGGAACCCCUGUUAAGGAGAAUUAACAAAGUGUGGUUAUUAAAGAAGAACUGAGUUGGGAGUCAGACCUGGAGGCCCGCACCCUUGGUUAAGACAUUAUACCACCAUUCUUUUCAAUAUACCCCAUCAUGGUUCAACUCAAAAGUCAUUGCUUAUUUAAAAUCUACAACUGCUGACGUUUUGUAACCUUCGCAUUCCAGAUACAACAGAGAAAUGCAUAAUGUCCAGUCAAUUUAUUAAAGUUCCAAAGUCGGUCGCGCGCAGUGGCUCACGCCUGUAAUCUCAACACUUCGGGAGGCCGAGGCGUGUGGAUCACGAGGUCAGGAGUUGGAGACUAGCCUGACCAACAUGGUGAAACCCCGUCUCUACUAAAAAUACAAAAAUUAGCCCAGGCAUGGUGGCACGCGGCUGUGAUCCCCGCUACUCAGGCGGCUGAGGCAGGAGAAUUGCUUGAACCUGGGAGGCAGAGGUUGCAGUGAGCAGAGAUGGCGCC
rnacentral:lncRNA from 10 species